rnacentral:rRNA from 1 species
CACGUAGGGUGCGAGCGUUGUCCGGAAUUAUUGGGCGUAAAGAGCUCGUAGGCGGUGUGUCGCGUCGGCCGUGAAAACCUGCAGCUUAACUGUGGGCGUGCGGUCGAUACGGGCAUCACUGGAGUUCGGCAGGGGAGACUGGAAUUCCUGGUGUAGCGGUGAAAUGCGCAGAUAUCGGGAAGAACACCCGUGGCGAAGGCGGCUCUCUGGGACGGUACUGACGCUGAGACGCGAAAGCGUGGGGAGCAAACAGG